GUCCAUAAAUGGAGAAGAAAUUUACUCCAUGGUGGACUCACCCAUAACUGAUUUAGAUGAUGAGGUGUGGGACAUUUUCAGAUGAUUAUAUUCAGUUGCUGUUGGUAUCCUGGACCUAGCAUAGAACGUCAACACCAAGACAAAAGUAUGCCAAAUUGCAGGGUUUAUUGCCGGCAACCACGGAGGACUCACGUCUCUCCAACCCGUGGCAGGGAAAGAAGGGUGACAAGACCUUUUUAUACCGGGACAUGGAUGAAUCUGGAAACCAUAAUUCUCAGCAAACUGACACAAGAACAGAAAAUCAAACACCGCAUGUUCUCCCUCCUAGGCGGGUGUUGAACAAAGAGAACACAUGGACACAGAAUGAGAAGCAGUAACUACAGGCCUGGGAGACCCUGCUGCUCUGCCCUUCUGGCUUCAAAUAAGCCCCAAGAUGAGGAAUAAAUAGUAAUGUGAAAAAGCAGACUCAGGAUUAAUGUAUGAAACAUUUACGAGAUCUUCUCUGGUCUAAGAUACAUACUGUAUUUGGAAUAUUUAACAAUAAAUAAAGAACAUGUGAAAGAAUUUAAUUUAUUGAAUGCAUUUUUCAAUAUUAGAUAUUUUGAGACUAGUAAUGAAAGUCUGCAUCAAACAAACUUUUCUCCCUGCUAUGCCUCAUAUCUUCAGAAAUGUAAUUUCCUGAAUAAGUAAUCUUAAUCCAGUGAAGAUUUAAUUUGGUCUUUUUAAUUUAUAAAUCGUAAUUCACCUCCUCAAUAAAAUGUUGCUGAAUUUAAAUAGCAAGGGAUAUAUGAAAGACGUAUUAAAAUAUCUUAAGCCUAUUUUCCUUAUGCUGCAUUAUAAAAUAAUUUUUAAUUCUUAAAGCUCAUCUUAGCCCAUUCCUGCAUAAAACACAAGAAUAAUGGCUUCUUGAAUGGUUAUUCUGCUGCCCCAGUGACCUCAAUAAGUCAAUAAUAUGCCUGCAAUACAUUCCUCAGUCAAAGAAAUAUUACAAUACCCAUAAUAAAAUUCACUUCUCUUGAUUUGUAUAAAAUGAUUAAUUUUUGUAUAUAACUGCUAAUAAUUUUUAUACAUAAGGUCAAUGGCAGUCAUUGUCAAAGGUGGACUUCUUAAGGACAGCAACCAUAACAAUCAUGGAUGGAAAAGAAUUACAAAUAAAAUGAUUGAAUAAAAGUGGUUGAUAUAUUUUACAAAAUCAAUGUUUCCUGAUCUUUAGUUAAAGAGCAGGAAAAGAGAACCAAAGUAGAAAUUUCAUAAUACAUAUUGACAGAACCAUCUGUGAGAUUUAAAGUGGCCAGGCAGAAAGGUUCCACCUGGGACGUCUUUAAAGUGAUACAUUCACAGCAGUUAGCACAGAAUUUUAACUUCCUAUAGAAGAUCUUUUAUGCAAACAUGUAUUCUGAGGUUCCUGUAAGUGAAUAAUACAGGGAAUGUUGUUAAGUUGUUACCC
rnacentral:lncRNA from 1 species